CCAUGUUUUUUUUUUUUCUGUAUUCACUACAUUGACGGCCAAUAUAUAAGAACGUGGCUGGCCGGGGUGGAUAGGUGUGCGUUUACAUACAGUACUUUUAAGCCAGAAAGUGGAGUUUGCUUCCCGGGAAAAACUAAAGUCUUUCACCCAGGAAAUUCAUAUCCUUAGAAGUGUUUUAAUCCCAAACCAUGAUAUUUUUCCUAAUCUUAACUAGUUGUUUUGGUGCCUAAUCUUAACUUUCGUUGCAGCAAAACGCUCAUAUUUUGUGGACUAAAUUUAACCAUGACCUCCGCCGAAACA